GGAUAUGUUAGAAAAUUGACUUAACUUCACAGACUCGAUCAGUACAAGUGCUUUUUAAAAAUGAUGUAGCACUUGUGGAGCUGGGCAAUGAGAUCAACAGUUUGGCCCAGAAGGUGGAGAAUCUAACCUCUUCAGUGGAGGAGAAAGAUAAGGAGAUCAAAAAGCUGUCUUUUGCUGCCAAACGAGCUUCAAGCAGACCACCUCCAUCUUGUAAGAAAUGCAGCAGAACCAUACCAGCAGAAACUCCAACUCCAGCUGAGAAGGAUGGACCUGAUGUCCACAUAAACAAAGAACUGCAAGAAAAAGAUACUGAAAUAGAAAAGUUGACUGAUGUGAUUCAGCAUUUAAAAAAGCUAUUAGCAGAGACAGAAAUGAAAUUAAGUGAUGCAUAUCGAGAAAUCUCGGAUCUUAGAAUACUUCAGACAGAGAACAUCAUCCAUCAAAAGAAGUCAUCUAAGAUAGCCAGAUCCGAAGUCCCCAUUCCAUCUGUCAGGGUUGAACACAAGGUUCAAGGUCAAGAUGUUCACAGCAUUGAGGACACUAAGUCUUCUGUUAUCAUCCGUGAUCCAGUGGAUCUUCGAGAAAGCGAACCUCUGGUAAUUCCUAUGAGGGAAGAUCUUCCAGUGGAGGAUGCACCCCUUGACAUGGUGGAAGAUGGUGAAUAUGUGGAAGAACUGGAUCUAGAAGAGGAGUCAGUUUUGGAGGUUUAUCUAUUUGAAAUGCCUUUAAACUGUUACAGUUUAUGGAAUAAAAACUUUUUAAUUGAAUUUUGAUAUCGUCAUAAUAAAAAUAAAUAUAGUGACUGAGAUUUAUGCUUACAAGGAUGUUUAUUUUGGUCAUUGAGAUUCAUGAUAGUUAUAAAUUAGGGAUUUAAAGAUACUCUUAAUAUGCUGUAUUUUUAAAAUAAAAGGUAGAUGGUAUUGAAUAUUUAUGAAAUAAAAAUGACACAGGUGAAAGAAGAGGAGGCUGUUUCACCUGCAAAACCAAUCAAACCCAAAACAGCUGUACUGUCUGUAGAGAAACAGAAAUCUCAACCAAAGAGGGUAUCUAUACAAAUUUAUUUAACCAAUGAAAAAAAACCAACAAAAUUUACAAAAGUCUGAAGGAUAAACAUUACUGGGUUACUUUUCUUGUUUUUAUAUUAGACAGCCAUUGCAGAGUUGUCUAUCUUUAUGAAGAUGUUAUUGCUUUCCUAUUAUUACAGACCAGCCGAAAAGAGAGAACAAAACUGCCUGCUUUAAACCGCAAGUCUGUCAAGUCUUCCCCACGGGAACCUGUGCAUGUGGAACCUCCCAUUGAUCCAGAGGCCAAGUCCCGAAGGAAUCAUGUCCUAUACCAAGUCGGAGAUCUACAAAGCAGGGUACAUGUCUACAUUAUACAACUCAAUAGCUUUUUGAUUCUGUUUCUUUUUCAUUUUAAGGUGUAUAGCUGUUUAUUCAUAUCAAGCUUUAUGGAUACUUUUUCUAGAUGAAUGUGAUAUUAAACAUGGUGGCUAAUUUUGUGUCCACUGUUAGCAGCUUGAUCUACAAAGAUCCUCAGGAACCAAGUAUUAAUGGAGUGAAAGCAUUUGAGUUUGGAUGCAAUGCCAACACCUUGAAGAGAAAGGAGGUGGAUCCAAAAGAGCUGGAGUCCCAACAGAAGAGAGCCCAGGUGUUGUACUGUGGUCAGAGUAUCAGCAAAUUGGUGAAGGAGGUGUACAAUCUUCUGUCUACCACACUGAAUCUACAGCACAGUGAAUUCGAGAUGAUUUAUAGAUCCUUCAAGAAACACCAACAGAAGAGAGCCAUUGAACAGGCCAUUAUGUCAGGAAGUCUGCAGAAGUACUAUGACAAUGGCGGUAGAAGCACUUCCUACGAUUACCACAAGCCUCAGGCAGGCUCCUCGAUCAGUGCUGAGGAUCUGGGUCAACAGAAUGUUUUAUUGUAUGGAUUCCACAGAUCCAAGUCUGAGUUGGAUGUUCACAGCAACUUUUCCUCUGAAUCUUUUACUACACAAUUCCUUAGGGAGAGAUCUCAAGUGUUCCUUACCAACACUCAGGCCGAAACGCCUCAGGGACGGAAAACAGCUCUUGGUCAUUACCCAGCCAGUCGGGAGGAGGUCUGCAUCGCCAAGACGACCGUGCCAAAGAAGGGACUCAUCAAACUCACAGCACUGGACAACGAACUAAAAAAUCCUCUUCUCUUUGACAAGAAGGAAAAAGAAGUUCUACCAAUGGAAGCAGUGCGAGAGCAACAGAGAAAGCAACAAAAGUAUGAAAAGCAGAGGAAGAUGUUGAUCCGACGCAAAGACAUCAUGAACCAGGUCAACAUUGGCAGCCUCCAUCUGGCCGAGGAGAAAGAGAAGCACAAUCUGGAGAUGCAGAUAGAGAACUACACACUUGGGGACCUCCACCGCAACCUUAACGAGCUCACAAAUGCGGUCAAGCAUCCUUCAUCAGAGAGUAUAAAGAAGGAAGGAACCAAGUCCCUGACCCCACAACCCCGGGGACUGGCUCUCCCCUCCAUCAACACAAUCAACUUGUUCUAGCUUGGACCCACUCAGAGACAUGGCUGUAUACUGUGCAAUUCACCCUCGGAACAAUUGUUAAUUUAAAAGUUUUUGUACACACAAAAAUCCUGAUGUGUAUAUAUAUGUUUUAUGUUUGUCUAUAUUACAUGUAUUUUCUGUUCAUGAUUUACUGUACAUAAUAAAUAUGAUGCAUUCC
rnacentral:misc_RNA from 1 species